ACUUUAUCAGGAGCGAAAUACUACCGGUUAAUAACCGGUGGGGCUGACGGUACCUGAGGAAUAAGCACCGGCUAACUUCGUGC
rnacentral:rRNA from 1 species